rnacentral:tRNA from 1 species
AGUUGAUAUAGCAUAAGAAGUGUGUUUGUUUUAAGCGCAAGAGAUAAAAGUCAAUU